rnacentral:rRNA from 1 species
CAAUGACCGCUUGAGAGAUCAAGUUUUCCCUUCGGGGACAAUGGUGACAGGUGGUGCAUGGUUGUCGUCAGCUCGUGUCGUGAGAUGUUGGGUUAAGUCCCGCAACGAGCGCAACCCCUAUCCUUAGUUGCCAGCAUUGAGUUGGGCACUCUAGGGAGACUGCCGGUGACAAACCGGAGGAAGGUGGGGAUGACGUCAAAUCAUCAUGCCCCUUAUGAGUUGGGCUACACACGUGCUACAAUGGACGGUACAAAGGGCAGCGAGACCGCGAGGUGGAGCCAAUCCCAUAAAGCCGUUCCCAGUUCGGAUUGCAGGCUGCAACUCGCCUGCAUGAAGUCGGAAUCGCUAGUAAUCGCAGGUCAGCAUACUGCGGUGAAUACGUUCCCGGGUCUUGUACACACCGCCCGUCACACCACGAGAGUUUGCAACACCCGAAGCCGGUGAGGUAACCGCAAGGAGCCAGCCGUCGAAGGUGGGGUAGAUGAUUGGGGUGAAGUCGUAAAGGGGUAAAGCCGUA